GGCAGUGCGCAGCUUACCAUGACAGUCGAGCGGUAAGGCCCUUCGGGGUACACGAGCGGCGAACGGGUGAGUAACACGUGAGCAACCUGCCCCCGACUCCGGGAUAAGCGGUGGAAACGCCGUCUAAUACCGGAUACGACCGGCCACCUCAUGGCGGCCGGUGGAAAGUUUUUCGGUUGGGGAUGGGCUCGCGGCCUAUCAGCUUGUUGGUGGGGUAAAGGCCUACCAAGGCGAUUACGGGUAGCCGGCCUGAGAGGGCGACCGGCCACACUGGGACUGAGACACGGCCCAGACUCCUGCGGGAGGCAGCAGUGGGGAAUAUUGCGCAAUGGGCGAAAGCCUGACGCAGCGACGCCGCGUGGGGGAUGACGGCCUUCGGGUUGUAAACCUCUUUUACCACCAACGCAGGCUCCCAGUUCUCUGGGGGUUGACGGUAGGUGGGGAAUAAGGACCGGCUAACUACGUGCCAGCAGCCGCGGUAAUACGUAGGGUCCGAGCGUUGUCCGGAAUUAUUGGGCGUAAAGAGCUCGUAGGCGGCGUGUCGCGUCUGCUGUGAAAGACCGGGGCUUAACCCCGGUUCUGCAGUGGAUACGGGCAUGCUAGAGGUAGGUAGGGGAGACUGGAAUUCCUGGUGUAGCGGUGAAAUGCGCAGAUAUCAGGAGGAACACCGGUGGCGAAGGCGGGUCUCUGGGCCUUACCUGACGCUGAGGAGCGAAAGCAUGGGGAGCGAACAGGAUUAGAUACCCUGGUAGUCCAUGCCGUAAACGUUGGGCGCUAGGUGUGGGGACUUUCCACGGUUUCCGCGCCGUAGCUAACGCAUUAAGCGCCCCGCCUGGGGAGUACGGCCGCAAGGCUAAAACUCAAAGGAAUUGACGGGGGCCCGCACAAGCGGCGGAGCAUGUUGCUUAAUUCGACGCAACGCGAAGAACCUUACCAAGGUUUGACAUCACCCGUGGACCUGCAGAGAUGUGGGGUCAUUUAGUUGGUGGGUGACAGGUGG
rnacentral:rRNA from 1 species